rnacentral:lncRNA from 10 species
GCAUUUAUGAAUAAAAUGUAAGGUUCGUAAACACUGUGAGUGCAUGUGAAACGUUAGGGAAUUUCACCAGCUUGUAGAAACAAAUAAGUGAUUGAUCUAAGUGUCAAAAAUAAUCUGCAGCCGAAAAGAUGUCAAAGUACUCUUCCCUUGACUGCAUUUUCUUUCUCCAAGCUUACAUUUAAUAAGCUUCCAACAGAACGUAAAGAAGAGCCAAGAAAAUCUGCAGUUUUUGUGUUCCUAAGCAUUUGUAAGGGAAAAAGAAGAGGAUUCAACUCAAAAUCAAAAGUCUAAUACUUACUCUGAAACUACCAUCAAAGCAUAUGCUGAAAUUAUCUUCAUAUCUAAUUAUUUCAAGGCAUUUAUAUUGGGAAAAAAGGAAAAUAAAUCAGAUACACAUCAAGGAUUGUUCUGAAUUCACAUUUACCAGAAGUAUUUUAAUAAUGACCCUGACAACCAGCAUGUAUUGAACCAAAACUGAAACACAAACCAAAGUCAUCCUUUUAAGCGUCAAACUAGAGUACCUUAUUGUGUGUGUAUGUAUAUAUAAUUUAUAUUUAUGUUAUACAAUAUAUUUUAUAUUUCUUGAUACAAUAUACAUCAAUGACUGUAAACCUUCUGAAUUCUGCGCAAUUUUGCUAACUCAGUGGACAUAUGUCACUAUAUGGAGAUAUCUUUCAUUGACACACCUUUGGGGGAUAAGACACUAUUGGUAUCUGUUGGGCAGAUGCAAGGGAUGCUUUUAAAUAUUCUAGGACAGGACAGCCACUGAAGAUAAAAUAUUACCUUGUCCACAAUGUCAAUAAUGCCACAUUAGAAGAUCCUGAUAUUUAUUAUAUAUUAUAUAUGUUGAAUAUUUAAUCUAAAUUCAUAUGUAUAUAUUCCAUGUAUAAUUAUUUAAUUUAUAAUAGAAAUAUAUAUAUUGCAUAAUAAACUGUAUGGGGCUUCACUAAGAUACUGUGUUUCAUUUUAUGUAGGUGUUGUGGGACUCUGUUUGCAUAUUAUAAACUGAGAACCUAGUAAGAUUAUGGAAGAGCCUCCUGUUUCUCCACCAUAAAACUUGCUCUGGUAUAACUGGAACUUAAACUAGAUGAAUGCUUUUAGAGGGAGUCAAGCAGUCCAGACAUACUCCUGCAGUUUCUAGAUUGUGAAGAUCUAAUAGACUCAAUAAGUAAUUGAAAAUGAGGAUGAACAAAAUAUUGGGAAUAUUGUGAAGAAUGGUCAACAUAAAUUAAAAAUCAAAAUAGUAAAGAUUCAACUUGGAGAGGUCAAUGAUUGGCAUUUUUGGAAAGGAAGUAAUCACUGUGAAUAUUUGUAUAUUUGAAAAAAAAUGAACAAUGUAUGUAACUUUGGGGCAUAAAUAAAUAAUACCAAAUAAAGUAGAGUUUGUGUAGCUAUGCCAUCAUUCAAUCAAUAGUCAUAAACACUCAGUUUAGCACCCUUCUAAGGAUUAUAGGCGUGAGCCACCAUAAUGGGCCCAGUUUGUUAUUUUGAAAUAUCACUUUUAUACAUGAUACGUGGAUACAAUUCCAUUAUAGUAGCUGAUUGUCAAACUAAUUUGAUCAAUAGGAUUUCCACAACAACAUUAUCUACUGUAUUACUGUAUCUUAUAUAGGGCUAUUUUCAUAAAAUGGGGACAAUGGAACUACUUAGAUAAUCCAGGUAAUUAGUAAUGUCUCUUAAUAGACUGUAUAUAAAGAAAUGUGUUUUCACCUAUUAAUGAAGACUGAAACUACAGAAGUUGAAUAAAAUAGGUUUACAAUAUUAAAGUGAACAUUUCCAUUGCAUUUUUAUAAUGGUAAUAGGUAAAAUUGUCCAACAUAAUACAAGUGGUAUUUAGACUUUUUACAUGAAUAUGUUUCAAUGUUAGAAUGUAAAGCAUGGUAGAGUAAAUCUGUGGGCCUGUGAAUAUAGAUCACAGGUUACAAUUCAUGUUAUUUUCACCAGUGAUAAGCUAAGGGUAAGCAUCUACAAACAGUAAAUACUAGGAUGAAAUAAGAUUUCCUAUUGUUCUUUCUUCUGUUGAAGAGCUUUAAAAAGGGAAAUUAUAGGCUAGUUACACUUCCAGUUGGAUGAGUCUACCCACCUGGGCAGGAUAGCAACUAGUCCAUAUUGUGUGAUUCUUUGGGAUUUAAUUUUAGAGAAAAAGAGAGCUAGUUUCACUAAGCUUUCUCCCAUCAUAUUGUGGCACAGAUAUUAGAGUGUACUUAGGCAUACCUGAGCUUUCAGCCAAGUUGAUGGCUGGGGUGGCAGGGAAAGAAAGUAAUAUGACUCCGUGGAAAAUUUCCCUAUAUGAGAAAUAUUACCUGUACAUUUUUAUUAUGACAUGUAUCAUAAUGUUUGGGAUAUAAUAAUACCAACAUAAUUAUUACUAACUACCUCAAAAAAACGAAUAUUUUAAUUACUGUUUAGAAACAAUGCAACACCGGAAGCCCUUUCUUUCUAUAUCCCCAUUCCAGUCACACAAAAGUUAACAUUGUCCUGAAUUAUAUGUUAAGCAUGUUCUUCUCUUUCUUACAUUUUAAACAUGAAUGUUUGUGUUGUUAAAAUAUAUAUUAUAUAUGUUUGUUUUAGGACUGUAUAUAAAUGGAAACAUAUAGUAUUUAUUUUUUUGACUCGAUACGUUUGUUCAUUAUUAUCUACAGAGAAAAAUCCAUGUUCAAUUAUACUUUCAUUUUCUGAGCUAUAUAGUAUUCCAUUCCAACAUAACAGAUCCAAUCGUUCUGCUAUGAAUAAACAUAAUACAUUAGUUCAUAGUGCUUAGAGUUCUUGAAUGAAUAUGCUAAGGAGAAACAUUUCUGAAUGUAGGAUAAUGGCAUGUUUACCAUUAAUAACAUUUUGGUUUCCAUGGUUUUCUCUUUGUAUUUUACGAAGUGAUUGAGAGUGUCUGUUACUGCAUUACCUCACUAUCAUGUGGUAGCGUUAGACCUGUAAUUUUUUUCACUUUUGUAGAUUAUGUAAUGGAAUUUCACUGACUUUACUUGAAUUUCUCUAUUACUGAUUUAAGUUGAGCUUAUAUUUAUUUGAUUAUAUCAGAUGUAAAAGUGCCUAUUCAUACUAUUUAUACUUUUUUAAAAUGUGAGUAGUCUUUUUUU